CUUUUGUAUAAUGGGUCAGCGACUUAUAUUCUGUAGCAAGGUUAACCGUAUAGGGGAGCCGGAGGGAAACCGAGUCUUAAUUGGGCGUUAAGUUGCAGGGUAUAGACCCGAAACCCGGUGAUCUAGCCAUGGGCAGGUUGAAGGUUGGGUAACACUAACUGGAGGACCGAACCGACUAAUGUUGAAAAAUUAGCGGAUGACCUGUGGCUGGGGGUGAAAGGCCAAUCAAACCGGGAGAUAGCUGGUUCUCCCCGAAAGCUAUUUAGGUAGCGCCUCGUGAAUUCAUCUCCGGGGGUAGAGCACUGUUUCGGCUAGGGGGCCAUCCCGGCUUACCAACCCGAUGCAAACUGCGAAUACCGGAGAAUGUUAUCACGGGAGACACACGGCGGGUGCUAACGUCCGUCGUGAAGAGGGAAACAACCCAGACCGCCAGCUAAGGUCCCAAAGUCAUGGUUAAGUGGGAAACGAUGUGGGAAGGCCCAGACAGCCAGGAUGUUGGCUUAGAAGCAGCCAUCAUUUAAAGAAAGCGUAAUAGCUCACUGGUCGAGUCGGCCUGCGCGGAAGAUGUAACGGGGCUAAACCAU
rnacentral:rRNA from 1 species